ACAGAAGGAGCCGCUAGAUUUGUCAAGGGAUGGUCUCAUCCGGGACAGGAAGGAGAACCAGGAAGGUGGACCAUGUGGUUCAGAGAGCAGCAAAAGAACCGGGCGGUGAAGGCAAUUUACCGUAGCCGGCGAGGGUCACUGGGGGACGGUGAGAGUGAGGAGGAAGUGCCGGUGUGGUGCCGCCAACGACAGUUCAGCGUACGUCCGUUAGCUAGUUAGCAAGUUAGCUAGUUAGUUAGUUAGCUAGUUAGCAAGUUAGUGUUUACGAUGUUUUAGUGCAGUCUUUGAUACCGCCGUCGGAUGAACAACGAGGAUAAAAUACUUUUAUGUUCAGUACAGCGGCGACAGCAAACUUUCCAUAGAAUAUCCGCAUAUCGAUACCGUAAAAUGACGCUAACAGUACCUAUGCAGACGAUGACAGGCGCUGAAGCUCUGGACCCGGGUGAUGUAUCCGACGCGCUCCCCGACGGUGGAUCCAGCCAUGGCCGGCAGCCGACUGUAUAGUGGAGCCAGGAGACAGCGGCUGCGGAUAAUAAAGGCUUGGGCUGGAGCUCCAGGCCUCUCAUGACUCACCCAGCCAUUGGCUUAAAGAAAGGGGCGUGCAUAGACUCACAUGCAGCAGUUGGUGGAUAAACCGUCCAAAACAUUUCAGGACAUGAAGGAAAUUCCUUGCCUGGUGCACUUCAAUGGUCGAGACCCUCGACUUCUGGCCAAGAUUCAUCCCAGAGAACGAAAAGGUUGAAGUUAGUUUUAAUUUGUGCAUACAUAUUCCAUAGCUGGACUGCAAAUACAAUUCAUAUUUUCACUGUGCUACAACAUUCAUGAAAAAAAACGACUUAAUAGAAACAUGAAAAGCCUGUACAAAACUUUGCGUUUGUUUAUAAUCACAAUCCAAAAAGCAAAUACAUUGUAUUCAUAAUGACCAUUUCAACCCAGAUGUUUUGGCAUAUGGAUAUUUACGUAUACAGUACAUGGUCUGCAAAAACAGCAAUGCUAUAUUUUACAUGCUAAAUGCAAAUGAAUAGAAAUAGGCAAUUAUACUGUAUGCAGUUGAUGGGUUUUGAACUGCACGUUGAUUUUGAAUAGUUGAAAAAAACCUACAUUCGUAGCGGUGAUGUCAAACCCAAAUACUUUCAGUUUACAACAAAAAAUAAGAAAUUGACUUAAUAUAAAAUGUGCUUAUGUACAAAAAGAAGUGUUGGUGAAUAAAUGACAAAGUAGAUUAGAGUAGAUUAGGAUUCUGAAUCAGAGUCACUGCAUGGUGUCCAAGUGGUUGACUUCAGUUUCAGGCAGUGUGGGAUUGGUCCCAACUCAGUGACGGUGUAAAUGUGAUUCUGAAUGGUUGUCUUUCCAUAUUUUCCCAGUGAUUGACAAACCAGUCCAAGUUGAAGUCAGUUUGGAAGGCUCAACCUCCCACGACCUUGAACAGUAUAAUCAGUAGAAAAUGUUUGAAUAGAUAAAGAACCCAAGUGCAUUCAAAACUCGCUCUCCUCUAAAAUCUCCUCCAUGGUCUCCCCGAGCGUCAUUUCCCCGUCGCUGCUAGAUAAGCUCUUCCGGGUCAGCAGCGCGAGGCCUGUUGCGUCACAUCCUUUCACGCCAUGACAUUUAACCUCUUUUAGUCUAUUCACUCCACCUCCCUCUUGGCCAGCAACCUGAAGCAGGUGAGGAAGCCUGAUGGGAGUCCCAUCCUCCUCACAGGAUCCCCUCCGCUGGCACUGCGAGCCGUGGCCUCGAGUGCACUUCCAAAGGUGCUUGAGCGGCGCACCCUGAAAACAGCUCCUUAACUGGAAGUUGUUGGUGACCGUGAAAAUCUGCCAGCGCUUCUUUAGCUCAGCUUGAACCUAAAUGCAAACAAACAGAACAUUUUUACAUAGAAAGAUUCCUGCAGUAAUAAAGGCCAUGGAAGGCCAGGAGAAGAAACUCUUAUUGCAGGAAAGAAGUCUGUAUUUUCUCAUGCAGACAGGAGAAAGAGCAGGAAAGAGGCACAAACUAGAAGAAAGAAGGCAUGGACGGUGUGGAAAGACGGAAUUGCUGACCAGAACUUCUCAUUUUGGGUAUUAUGGUUAAUUACUACAAGAGAAUCUAAGUGAAAAUCCAAGAGUCAACAGAGAUUACUCCAGAAAGUUUAUUAUUAUUAACACAUAGCUUGCGGUGUGUUUAUGGCACAUUCACAAAAAUGAUGUGUUCCACAAAUUUCAAAAUUUGACCAGUUUAGUUACCAGUUUAGUGUCUUUAAUAAUCUGUAAUUUAGUGUAUGGAACCAUACCUCUCCGUUAGCGAAGCAAUACAACACUCCAACCAGGAAACCCUGAAUAGAACAGAUUGACUUGUAACUCGGGUUUAAUUACUAAUAAAACAACCAGGUAUACAAUCAGUUGUAGUAUUCUUACCUGGAAAGAACUGAUGGUGAGAUUGAUAAAGUCCCGAGCGUAUCGACUGCUCCCCGUCAUACAUUCAUCAACGAGCACUGUGAAGACAACUUCAUGGAUUCCCAGCAGUGGAAUCAGCACCAGCGUUGCUCUGGCUAAGCUGACAAUGAAUACAACCAAGUUUAAUUUAUACAAUAAAUCCCUUAUUGGGAUAUCUACACGGAUAUGAUUGAAAUACAGUAAACCUCGGAUAUAUCGGAUUCAAUUGUUCCCACUGGUUUU